GUUAUAGGGUCAAGCGAACAAGUGCAUGUGGUGGAUGCCUUGGCGAUCACAGGCGAUGAAGGACGCGGUAGCCUGCGAAAAGCUACGGGGAGCUGGCAAACAAGCUUUGAUCCGUAGAUGUCCGAAUGGGGAAACCCGGCCCUUUUGGGUCAUCCUAGACUGAAUACAUAGGUCUAGUGAAGCGAACGCGGUGAACUGAAACAUCUAAGUAACCGCAGGAAAAGAAAUCAACCGAGAUUCCCAAAGUAGUGGCGAGCGAAAUGGGAUGAGCCUUGUACUCUUUAUUUGUAUUGUUAGCCGAACGCUCUGGAAAGUGCGGCCAUAGCAGGUGAUAGCCCUGUAGGCGAAAACAGUAUGAAAGAACUAGGUGUACGACAAGUAGGGCGGGACACGUGAAAUCCUGUCUGAAGAUGGGGGGACCAUCCUCCAAGGCUAAAUACUCGUGAUCGACCGAUAGUGAACCAGUACCGUGAGGGAAAGGCGAAAAGAACCCCGGGAGGGGAGUGAAAUAGAUCCUGAAACCGCAUGCAUACAAACAGUCGGAGCCUCUUCGGGGGUGACGGCGUACCUUUUGUAUAAUGGGUCAGCGACUUACGUUCAGUAGCAAGCUUAACCGUAUAGGGCAGGCGUAGCGAAAGCGAGUCCGAAUAGGGCGUUCAGUUGCUGGGCGUAGACCCGAAACCAGGUGAUCUAUCCAUGGCCAGGAUGAAGGUGCGGUAACACGUACUGGAGGUCCGAACCCACUAACGUUGAAAAGUUAGGGGAUGAGCUGUGGAUAGGGGUGAAAGGCUAAACAAACCUGGAAAUAGCUGGUUCUCUCCGAAAACUAUUUAGGUAGUGCCUCGUGUCUCACCUUCGGGGGUAGAGCACUGUCAUGGUUGGGGGGUCUAUUGCAGAUUACCCCGCCAUAGCAAACUCCGAAUACCGAAGAGUGCAAUCACGGGAGACAGACAUCGGGUGCUAACGUCCGGUGUCAAGAGGGAAACAACCCAGACCGCCAGCUAAGGUCCCCAAAUAUGGCUAAGUGGGAAACGAAGUGGGAAGGCUAAAACAGUCAGGAGGUUGGCUUAGAAGCAGCCACCCUUUAAAGAAAGCGUAAUAGCUCACUGAUCGAGUCGUCCUGCGCGGAAGAUGUAACGGGGCUAAGCCAUAUACCGAAGCUGCGGAUGCG
rnacentral:rRNA from 1 species